UACGUAGGUGGCAAGCGUUGUCCGGAAUUAUUGGGCGUAAAGCGCGCGCAGGCGGCCUCUUAAGUCUGAUGUGAAAGCCCCCCGGCUCAACCGGGGAGGGCCAUUGGAAACUGGGAGGCUUGAGUAUAGGAGAGAAGAGUGGAAUUCCACGUGUAGCGGUGAAAUGCGUCGAGAUGUGGAGGAACACCAGUGGCGAAGGCGACUCUUUGGCCUAUAACUGACGCUGAGGCGCGAAAGCGUGGGGAGCAAACAGG
rnacentral:rRNA from 1 species